rnacentral:snRNA from 1 species
UGCCGGGCUUUGAACUCGGU